rnacentral:rRNA from 1 species
CUACUGCAUCCCUAGUACGGCGAGUGAAGCGGGAAGAGCUCAAAUUUGAAAUCUGGUAGCCUUCGGUUGCCCGAGUUGUAAUCUAGAGAAGUGUUUUCCGUGCCGGCCCAUGUACAAGUCCCUUGGAACAGGGCGUCAUAGAGGGUGAGAAUCCCGUCCUUGACAUGGACCCCCGGUGCUUUGUGAUACACUUUCAACGAGUCGAGUUGUUUGGGAAUGCAGCUCAAAAUGGGUGGUGAAUUCCAUCUAAAGCUAAAUAUUGGCGAGAGACCGAUAGCGAACAAGUACCGUGAGGGAAAGAUGAAAAGCACUUUGGAAAGAGAGUUAAACAGUACGUGAAAUUGUUGAAAGGGAAACGAUUGAAGUCAGUCAUGCUCUUGGGACUUACCUCCCUUGAGUGGGGUCAACAUCAGUUUUGAUCGAUGGAUAAAGGCACGGGGAAGGUAGCACUCUCGGGUGAACUUAUAGCCUCGCGUCAUAUACAUUGAUUGGGACUGAGGAACGCAGCAUGCCUUAUGGCCGGGAUUCGUCCACGUACAUGCUUAGGAUGUUGACAUAAUGGCUUUAAACGACCCGUCUUGAAACACGGGAACACAAA